rnacentral:lncRNA from 1 species
CUCACAAUUUUUUCCUCUAUGUACUUUUGUGAGACCUUAUACUCUAGCAUUAAUCAAAACCAACAAAAGAAGCAGAUUGACAGAUGAAGUUAGUAGCACUUGCUUGGGCUGGAAGUAUACAAAAUACCAAACUUCAAUUGAAGAUUUAGUCAAUGAAAUUCAACAACAAAAACGUCACUAAUAGGCAGGAUAAAGAAUUCUCCCUCCCCCUCACUUAUCUUAGUUCAUGGCACCCCAAACAACUUAAAUAAUAUCAAGACCAGCAAAAGAAACCAAAUGACAGAUGAACAAAGAAGUCACUAAGCAGGUAAGUGAAAUAGUUUUUGUUUUAUUAAAAUUAGUUAUAUAUUACAAUUAGACAUUUUUGUUAUUUAAACUAUAAAUAAAUAUCACAAAAUUAUGGUUUUUUUCUCAAAGUGACACACCACUCAAGUUAUGCUCAGUUUUUUGAUGAAUUUUGACACACCAAGCUCAAAAGGUUGCCCAUUAUUGCUCUAAACAAUCAUUCUAGUGCAAAUAUCAAAAGUAUGGAAAUAAGUCUUGAUCAAUGACACAUGUAAAACCUAGUGGAAUUUCUCAUUGGCUAUGGGAUGGGGGUGGGAGGUGUGAAUUUUAAAACUAUUCCACCCUAAUCAGACCAUACUUUACAAGAUCUGAUUUAGCUAUUUCCUAAUAAAUAACAAUAGAGAUACUUAGACUAACAGAAUCAGGUCUUGGGAACCCUGCAUUUCUCUACCCUCCUUAGUUUAACAAGAUUAGGAAGGUCUGCACCAAACUCAAGAUUUAAUUAUCUGAGGAAAUGGCCUUCAACAGACAUGUGCAGAAAAAGCAGACAGACCUCUGGGCUGUCCUAAGUCAAGCUAAGCUAUCAUUGGUACAGAUGAGACACAGGAAAGUGACAUAAAACCGUCUAUAUAAGGCAUGCCACUUCGACUCUCUUUUUUUUUCCCUAGAGAGGCAACUCUGGCUGGCAGCUUGCUAGGUGUUCCAACAAUCUUGGAGUGGUGGCAGAGCACAGGUGACUGAAUAGUGAUCCUGAGAAGAGUAUUUCCAACCUUUGAGGCAAAAUGGUAGCUAGCUGGCACAGUGGAGAGAGCUCUGAGCUUGGAGUCAAGAAGGCUUGAAAUCAAAUCCUGCCUCAGACAUUUACUAAUUGUGUGACUAAGUAAGUUACUUAAUCUUCUUUAUCCUCUCUUAAUCAAAUGAGAUAAUAUUUGUAAGGUAUUUGGCAUAAUGUCUGGUACACAGUAAGUGCUUAACAAAUAUUUAUUUCCUUCUUUUUUUUCCUCCCUUCCUUCCUUCCUCCUACCCACUCUUCCUUCUUCCUUCUCUCCCUCCCUCUCCUUUCCUUCCUCAUCUACAAAAUGAGGGGACUGAACUUGCUAGCUUUCCAGUCCAAAAUUCAUGAUCCUAUGAUUGACUGAACUAGGCUGAGUACCACUUAUAGAUGACUGACAUAUAAAGCAGUUUCUAC